UACGGAGGGUGCGAGCGUUGUCCGGAAUCACUGGGCGUAAAGGGCGCGUAGGCGGCAUGCCAAGCGUGUGGUGAAAGCCCGGGGCUCAACCCCGGGUCGGCCGUGCGGACUGGCGUGCUCGAGCACUGUAGGGGCGGGUGGAAUUCCGGGUGUAGCGGUGGAAUGCGUAGAGAUCCGGAGGAAGACCGGUGGCGAAGGCGGCCUGCUGGGCAGUUACUGACACUGAGGCGCGACAGCGUGGGGAGCAAACAGG
rnacentral:rRNA from 1 species